rnacentral:rRNA from 1 species
UGCCAAGAAUGUUUCCAUUAAUCAAGAACGAAAGUUAGAGGUUCGAAGGCGAUCAGAUACCGCCCUAGUUCUAACCAUAAACGAUGCCAGCCAGCGAUCCGGCUGUGUUCCUCAAAUGACACGCCGGGCAGCUUCCGGGAAACCAAAGCUUUUGGGUUCCGGGGGAAGUAUGGUUGCAAAGCUGAAACUUAAAGGAAUUGACGGAAGGGCACCACCAGGAUUGGAGCUUGCGGUUUAAUUUGACUCAACACGGGACAACCUACCCGGCCCGGACACAGGAAGGAUUGACAGAUUAAGAGCUCUUUCUUGAUUCUGUGGGUGGUGGUGCAUGGCCGUUCUUAGUUGGUGGACUGAUUUGUCUGGUUAAUUCCGUUAACGAACGAGACUCUAGCCUACUAAAUAGACGUUCCGAUUAUUUAUUUUUCGGACGUUCUUCUUAGAGGGACAAUCGGCGCUUAGCCCGAUGAGACAGAGCAAUAACAGGUCUGUGAUGCCCUUUGAUGUCCGGGGCCACACGCGUGCUACAUUGAAGGAAUCAGCGUGUGCUUUCCCUGUCCGACAGGACUGGGUAACCCGUUGAACCUCCUUCGUGCUGGGGAUAGGGGCUUGUAAUUGUUCCCCUUGAACGAGGAAUUCCUAGUAAGCACGAAUCAUCAGUUCGUGUUGACUAAGUCCCUGCCCUUUGUCCACACCGCCCGUCGCUACUACCGAUUGAAUGAUUUAGUGAGGUCUUCGGACUGGCGCUCGGAGCGGCCUUCGGGUCGCGCCGGCGUGCCGGAAAGAUGACCAAACUUGGUCAUUUAGAGGAAGUAAAAAGUCGUAACAAGCGUUUCCGUAGGUGAACCUGGGGAGAGAGGAUCA